UACGUAGGGCGCAAGCGUUGUCCGGAAUUAUUGGGCGUAAAGAGCUCGUAGGCGGUCUGUUACGUCCGCUGUGAAAACCCAGGGCUUAACCCUGGGCUUGCAGUGGAUACGGGCAGACUAGAGGCAGGUAGGGGAGAAUAAAAUUCCCAAUAUAACAGUGAAAUGCGCAGAUAUCAGGAAAAACACCGAUAACGAAGGCGGUUCUCUGAGCCUGACCUGACGCUGAAGAGCGAAAGCGUGGGGAGCGAACAGG
rnacentral:rRNA from 1 species